AUGAGCCAUACAAUGAAGCUAUGGGAGAGAGUCAUUGAGCACCGCUUAAGAAGAAUGACAAGCGUGACCAAAAAUCAGUUUGGUUUCAUGCCUGGGAGGUCGACCAUGGAAGCCAUUUUCUUGGUACGACAACUUAUGGAGAGAUAUAGGGAGCAUAAGAAGGACUUGCAUAUGGUGUUCAUUGACUUGGAGAAGGCCUAUGAUAAGAUACUGCGGAAUGUCAUGUGGUGGGCCUUGGAGAAACACAAAGUCCUAGCAAAGUACAUUACCCUCAUCAAGGACAUGUACAAUAAUGUUGUGACAAGUGUUCGAACAAGUGAUGUCGACACCGAUGACUUCCCGAUUAAGAUAGGACUGCACCAGGGGUCAACUUUGAGCCCUUAUCUUUUUGCAUUGGUGAUGGAUGAGGUCACAAGGGGUAUACAAGGAGAUAUCCCAUGGUGUAUGCUCUUUGCGGAUGAUGUGGUGCUAGUUGACGAUAGUCGGACGGGGGUAAAUAGGAAGUCAGAGUUAUGGAGACAAACCUUGGAAUCGAAAGGGUUUAGGCUUAGUAGAACUAAAACCGAGUACAUGAUGUGCGGUUUCAGUACUACUAGCUGUGAGGAGGAGGAGGUUAGCCUUGAUGGCCAGGUGGUACCUCGGAAGGACACCUUUCGGUAUUUGGGGUCAAUGUUGCAGGAGGAUGGGGGUAUUGAUGAAGAUGUGAACCAUCGAAUCAAAGCCGGAUGGAUGAAGUGGCGCCAAGCUUCUGGCAUUCUCUGUGACAAGAGAGUGCCACAAAAGCUAAAAGGCAAGUUCUACAGGACGGCGGUUCGACCCGCAAUGUUGUAUGGCGCGGAGUGUUGGCCGACUAAAAGGCGACAUGUUCAACAGUUAGGUGUGGCGGAGAUGCGUAUGUUGAGAUGGAUGUGUGGCCACACGAGGAAGGAUCGAGUCCGGAAUGAUGAUAUAUGA
rnacentral:rRNA from 1 species